GCCGGCACCUAGCUCUCUGCAACUCUCACAUGGUCGCCCACUGAAGCUAAGCAGGGCUGUGCCCGGUCAGUACCUGGAUGGGAGACCAAAUGGGAAAGCUAGGUUGCUGCCGGAA
rfam:Danio rerio chromosome 16, GRCz11 reference primary assembly.